rnacentral:lncRNA from 1 species
UGAGUUUUGAUUACCAGGAACCCUGGAGAACUAUGAGAAGUUGGUAAUUUGUUGUCUAGAUCUCUCAGUCUUUAGAAGUGUAGAGUAUUGUGAUUUUUAUCAGUGUCUAAAAACACUUGAUGGGAGAGAGCAAAGAUGAUGCUUUUUCAUUGAUUCCCAGUGACAGCACAAGAGGCAAUGGACGCAAACUGGAAUAUACAGGGUCCUCCCCGGAAAUCUGGAAGAACUUCUGUGCUGUGCAGGUGACAGAGCAGGGCUUGGACAAAUUGACAUUAGACGACCCCUCCCACCUUAACUCCCUAUUGGAAAAGGCCUGGAAAGCUUCAGUGGCCAUAGAAUGCUUUAUAUACAUACAUUUUCUUACAUACUUAAUAGUGUGACAUUUCAGAAAGUAAAGAGAGUUUCUUUGUAUUCUCUGUGUAAAUACAUUGUCAAAAAGAAUUUCUAUGUCUUGCCUUAGUUAAAUUCUGCUUGGCUCAUGCCUUUCAAGGCAAUGGUUCAGCUCCUAUGGGGCUACUUUUAAAAGGCUGCCAUUAUUUAGAAUGGAUCAUUUAAUUAUCCCACCAUAGGGUUUGUAACAAAAAUUAAUCUGUGCAGGUAUAUUGUUUGUGUGAGUCACAAUUACAAAGUAAAUAUGUUACUGCCCAAUAGAGUUGCUGAAAUCCAACUGUACACAGCCUUUUAGAAUUUAGGGACAAGCUUUGUUUACUCUUAAUUAUACUUAAUGCCAUUUACUUCAGCUAGCCUGUAGCAUGUGUUCCUACUAAUUGAUUUAUGUACUUAGCAAAAUACCUUUUUUAAUACAAGCGUGCGACACUAUCUAAGAUGAAACUGCCUGUCCUAUGACUGGAGGGAAUAAUUACAGCGAAAAUAUAUCAAUUAAAAUGAGCUUUAUUAAACUAUAUUUGUAUCAUGGACACGGUUACCAAAACCUCCAAAGAGCCGAUCAGUGUUUGUGUCCUUGGGGCACUUUCUUGAUUUAAAAAGAAUAAAAAAUUAAAAAAAAAACA